rnacentral:rRNA from 1 species
AGUGAACGCUGGCGGUAUGCCUAAUACAUGCAAGUCGAACGACAGCACAGUAAGAGCGCGCUCUUACCGUUGGCGAGUGGCGGACGGGUGAGGCAUACAUCAGAAUCUACUUAUACGGGGGGGAUAACGUAGGAAAACUUACGCUAAUACCUCAUACAACCUACGGGAGAAAUCAAGAGAUAUUCGGACCUUGCGCGAUUGAAUGAGACGAUGUCGCAUUAGCUAGUUGGCGGGGUAACGGCCCACCAAGGCGACGAUCCGUAGCUGACCUGAGAGGAUGAUCGGCCACACUGGAACUGAGACACGGUCCAGACUCCUACGGGAGGCAGCAGUGGGGAAUCUUCCGCAAUGGGCGAAAGCCUGACGCAGCAAUGCCGCGUGGGUGAAGAAGGCCUUCGGGUUGUAAAGCUCUGUUGUUGGGAAAGAAAAAAUGUGUGAGAAACCACCCCUGUUCUGACGGUACCCAAACAGAAAGCAACGGCUAACUUCGUG